rnacentral:rRNA from 1 species
GACGAACGCUGGCGGCGUGCUUAACACAUGCAAGUCGAACGCUGAAGCUCAGCUUGCUGGGUGGAUGAGUGGCGAACGGGUGAGUAACACGUGAGUAACCUGCCCUCUUCUUUGGGAUAACGCCCGGAAACGGGUGCUAAUACUGGAUAUUCACUGAUUCUCGCAUGGGGGUUGGUGGAAAGGUUUUUUCUGGUGGGGGAUGGGCUCGCGGCCUAUCAGCUUGUUGGUGGGGUGAUGGCCUACCAAGGCUUUGACGGGUAGCCGGCCUGAGAGGGUGACCGGUCACAUUGGGACUGAGAUACGGCCCAGACUCCUACGGGAGGCAGCAGUGGUGAAUAUUGCACAAUGGGCGAAAGCCUGAUGCAGCGACGCCGCGUGAGGGAUGGAGGCCUUCGGGUUGUAAACCUCUUUCGCUCAUGGUCAAGCCGCAGCUUUGGGUUGUGGUGAGGGUAGUGGGUAAAGAAGCGCCGGCUAACUACGUG